rnacentral:rRNA from 1 species
UACGUAGGUGGCAAGCGUUGUCCGGAUUUACUGGGCGUAAAGAGCGCGCAGGCGGUCGAUCAAGUCGCGUGUGAAAGCCCCCGGCUCAACUGGGGAGGGUCACGCGAUACUGAUCGACUCGAAGGCAGGAGAGGGUAGUGGAAUUCCCGGUGUAGUGGUGAAAUGCGUAGAGAUCAGGCGGAACACCCGUAGCGAAGGCGGCCAGCUGGGCCGUCCCUGACACUGAGGCGCGAAGGCGUGGGGAGCGAACGGG